AUUGAACGCUGGCGGCAUGCCUUACACAUGCAAGUCGAACGGCAGCACGGGAGCAAUCCUGGUGGCGAGUGGCGAACGGGUGAGUAAUAUAUCGGAACGUGCCCAGUCGUGGGGGAUAACGUAGCGAAAGCUACGCUAAUACCGCAUACGAUCUAUGGAUGAAAGCGGGGGAUCGCAAGACCUCGCGCGAUUGGAGCGGCCGAUAUCAGAUUAGGUAGUUGGUGGGGUAAAAAGCCUACCAAGCCUUCGAUCUGUAGCUGGUCUGAGAGGACGACCAGCCACACUGGAACUGAGACACGGUCCAGACUCCUACGGGAGGCAGCAGUGGGGAAUUUUGGACGAAUGGGCGGCAAGCCUGAUCCAGCAAUGCCGCGUGCAGGAUGAAGGCCUC
rnacentral:rRNA from 1 species